rnacentral:rRNA from 1 species
UACGUAGGGGGCAAGCGUUGUCCGGAAUCAUUGGGCGUAAAGCGCGUGUAGGCGGCUCGAUAAGUCUGCUGUGAAAGUCCAAGGCUCAACCUUGGGAUGCCGGUGGAUACUGUCGAGCUCGAGUCCGGAAGAGGAGUGUGGAAUUCCUGGUGUAGCGGUGAAAUGCGCAGAUAUCGGGAGGAACACCAGCGGCGAAGGCGGCACUCUGGGCUGGAACUGACGCUGAGGCGCGAAGGCCAGGGGAGCAAACGGG